rfam:Oryza meridionalis cultivar OR44 (W2112) chromosome 7, whole genome shotgun sequence.
AAUAAGUAUAGUUUUGCACUAUUCAUGUUCAAUAUUUGACCGUUCGUCUUAUUUAAUUUUUUUUUAUAAUUAGUAUUGUUAUUGUUAUUAGAUGAUAAAACAUGAAUGAUACUUUAUGUGUGACUAACUUUUUUAAAAUUUUUAAAUAAGACAUACAGUUAAAAUUGGACACGGAUACCCACGGCUACACUUAUU